GAUUAAAUGGCUGAAGUAUAGGCGAUAGAUUGUAAAUCUAUUUAUAAGGUAGUCCUUUUUAAUCA
rnacentral:tRNA from 1 species